rnacentral:rRNA from 1 species
AUGGGGCUAGAGGAACGAGAAGAGGAACGAGAAGCAGCAGAUCGCAGCAAACGACCUGCCGAAGCUUCCCCCGAAGCUACCCCGCCAUCUCAGCGGAGAAGCAGCAUGACUUCCACCGAGCUGCUUCAGCUGGAGCAUGUCUUGACGGCUCCUGCCAGCUUUCCCAUGGAUGCUACCACGGAGUCUCAACAUUGCCACAUUAUGGCGCGAUGGAUGAAUUUGAAGGUCAAGGCGGCUGUUGGCUCUGUUUAUCCUAGUGGAUCCGGAGCAACUUAUCACUGCCGGCCGAUUCCAGAAGGAUAUGCUAAGGUGAUGGUGGAUGAUAUAACGGACGGAUUUGAGGAGCUCGUGCUUGACCACCCUACCGGUGAAGGGGAGACUAGGCUGGGUUCUGCUCUGAAGACUCCAUGCCUAUGGCGGAAGGAGCUCAUCAACCUUCCGAACUGGACGCCUCUGCCUCCUCCUCCUCCUCCGGCGAGUUAG